UUUCCGUAGGUGAACCUGCGGAAGGAUCAUUCAUAAUAAAGUGUUUUAUGGCACUUUUUAAAGAUCCAUAUCCACCUUGUGUGCAAUGUUAGAUCUCGUCAAUCUUGGCGAGAUUUUUAUACAUCAACUCAUUCUUUAACUAAUUUGUCUGAAAAAUAUUAUGAAUACUUAAUUCAAAAUACAACUUUCAACAACGGAUCUCUUGGCUCUC
rnacentral:misc_RNA from 1 species